AACGAACGCUGGCGGCAUGCCUAACACAUGCAAGUCGAACGAGACCUUCGGGACUAGUGGCGCACGGGUGCGUAACGCGUGGGAACCUGCCCUUAGGUUCGGAAUAACUCCCCGAAAGGGGUGCUAAUACCGGAUAAUGUCCUCGGACCAAAGAUUUAUCGCCAUUGGGUGGGCCGGCGUUGGAUUAGCUUGUUGGUAGGGUAAAAGCCUACCAAGGCUACGAUCCAUAGCUGGUCUGAGAGGAUGAUCAGCGACACUGGGACUGAGACACGGCCCAGACUCCUACGGGAGGCAGCAGUGGGGAAUAUUGGACAAUGGGCGAAAGCCUGAUCCAGCAAUGCCGCGUGAGUGAUGAAGGCCUUAGGGUUGUAAAGCUCUUUUACCCGGGAUGAUAAUGACAGUACCGGGAGAAUAAGCUCCGGCUAACUCCGUG
rnacentral:rRNA from 1 species